GUGGUUGAACUGUCAAAGACUAAUAAUCAGUGAGAAAACUAAAAACUUUUUUUUUAAGAUUUUAUUUAUUAAUGAGAGACAGAGAGAGAGAGAGAGAGAGCGAGGCUGAGACACAGGCAGAGGGAGAAUGGAGAAGCAGGCUCCAUUCAGCGAGCCUGACGUGGGACUUGAUCCCAGGUCCCCAGGAUCAGACCCUGGGUGGAAGGCGGCGCUAAAAUGCUGAGCCACCCGGGCUGCCCCUAAAAACUUUUCUUUUGAAAUAUCCUAAUAACAAUGUUUUAACAAUAACUAGAGAGGAACAUGAAUUUGCAAUCAAUUCAAUGAGCUAGCUCCUCUGGAAGACCUGGGCUCUUGCCAGGUUGCUACCACUCUUCCUACUCACCUAGCACUGUAGUAUAUGGAAGGCACUUCACUACAUUCUAUUUAAGCACUAUUCCUUCUCUCUGCUCAGCUCUAGAACCUCUAACUACAGCAACAGUCAUCAUCUUGCUGUUCCAUGGAUUACAUGGCUCAUGUGCCAGGCACUGUGUUGAACAUGGGGAUGCAAUAGCCUUCAGCCCUCAAGACGCUUGCUGGGCCAGUAAACAAUCACAGUACAGGGCUUCAGAGGAAUAAUCAGUUCCCAAAUAUUUAACAAGCCCUGGGGCCCCCUCUUGUUGCCCACAGUCUAACAAUGGAGAAAGUUGCAGACCCUGAAAAGUGCUGUGGGAAAGGUUAGCCUGCCGGGACACUUUGGGCUUAUUCAGGAGGGGCACUCAGUCUCAGAGGAUGGGCUGAGGGAAGGCUUUCUGGAGGAAGUGAUAUCUAGUUGAAACCUGAAAGUUGAGCAGAUGGCCAAAAGGGCGGGGAGGGAAUUGUGUCCCAAGCAGAGGCAACAGCAUAGCAUGGGAUCCCUGAGGAAGUAUAAGCCUUGUAAGAAAAGAUCAGCUGGGUCAGCUCCAUCAGGGACUCAACUGUCACAAUGAGAGGUAUGGACUUCUUCCCAAGCUAAUGAAAAACCAUUUUAGAAUUUUGAGCAGGGAUAUGAUCAGGCUUAAACUUGAGAAAAAUUACUGGCUACAGUGAGAAGAGAGAAUGAACUGGAAAGAACAAGUGGCGGCUAGAUGCAGAAAGACAGGAAUGAAUAGACUCCACCUCCUGAUAGGAAGGUAACUUCGUAGCUAUCCCUAGCUAUGGGUGCCAGGAGGGAACAAGUCAGUGAUCUCCAGCAAUAACCCACUGUGUCCAGCCUCUUAAUGGCUAAAACACAAGUCAAAGCUAGGAAUAGAAGGAUGGAGGACGGGAUGACCCUGCAACACCAAACCUCCCUCACUUUCUCCAUGCACCACCUGUCUCAUGUCUACCUCCUCAAGUCCUGGCUCCCAUUCUUUGUCAUUGUGUCACAGGAAGAUAACUGGAGAGGUGUCACUAGAUUUGGAAAGCAUGUCUGAUGUGGUCUAACUUAAAACAUAAACUAUUAGAAACCACAACAAGAUACCACUUCACACCCACCAGAAUGGCUAUAUGGCAAAAAAGAUAGAUGGAUGAGAAGUGUUGGUGAGCAUGUGGAGAAACUGGAACCCUCAUAUUCUUCUGGUGGAAAUGUAAAAUCGUGCAGCUACUGUUGAAAACACCCUAGCAGUUCCUCAAGUGACUAAACAGAGCAAUGACGUGGUUCAGCAAUUCCACUCCUAGGUCUAUACCCGAAAGACAUGAAAGCAUCUUCACACGAAAACUUAUACACAGGGCAGCCCCAGUGGCGCAGCGGUUUAGCGCUGCCUGCAGCCCGGGGUGUGAUCCUGGAGACCUGGGAUUGAGUCCUGCGUCGGGCUCCCUGCAUGGAGCCUGCUUCUCCCUCUGCCUGUGCCUCUGCCCCCCUCUCUCUCUGUGUCUCUAUGAAUAAAUUCUUUAAAACAAACAAACAAAAAGAUUAAAAAAAAAAAAAAAAAAAAAA
rnacentral:lncRNA from 1 species